rnacentral:rRNA from 1 species
AUGCCUAUUGUUUCUGUUAAGAUUGGAGAUCAUUUCUAUCAUGGUUUAUGUGAUCUUGGUGCUAGUAUAAGUGUUAUUUCUUUCUCUCUCUAUCAAGAAGUUAUGCAUAAUAUUUCAUAUGUUGAGAUAAAAGAGAUUGAUGUUACUAUUAAGCUUGCAAAUAGGGAUACCAUCUCACCUCUUGGGAUUGUGAGAGAUGUUGAAGUCUUGUGUGGUAAGAUCAAAUAUCCUACUAAUUGCUUAGUACUUGGAUCUAAGCAAGAUAAUUUUUGUCCCAUUAUACUUGGUAGACCCCUUUUUAAUACUAUUAAUGUUGAAACUGAUUGUGCUAAAGAAAAAGUUAAUGUUAAGUUUGGAGAUGAAUCUCGUGAAUUUAAUUUUUUUAACUUCUCUGAACAUCAUCAUGAUAAAUAUUUACCUCAUAAGGAUGUUAUUAUUCGUCUUCCUUCUGUUGUUGUGCCUCCUACAGAUCCUUUAGAGCAAUAUUCAUUAGAUCAUGAAAAUGACAUGCAUAUGAAUGAAAGAAAUGAAAUAUUCUUUAGGCAAGAACCUAUUCUUAAGCAUAAUUUGCAUGUUGAAAUCUUGGAAGAUCCUCCUCCACCUAACGGUGAUCAUGUGUUUGAAUUAAAGAAA